rnacentral:lncRNA from 1 species
UAGAAAGUCCCCUUUUGAAUGUAAUGAGUGUGGGAAAAUUUUCUUUGACCCCUCAUCCCUUAAUAAGCAUCAGAAAAUUCAUAGUGGAGACAAACCCUAGAAAGGCACUGAAUGUGGGAAAACCUUCCUCCAGAAAAGACAACUUAUUCAACAUGAAAGAGUGCACACUGGAGAGAAAUCCUGCAAGUGCAGCGUGUGCGGGAAAGUGCUCAGUUGAAAGUCAUCUAUCAUCCGACAUCAGUGACAUUAUGCAAACAGGCUUCAGAGUAUCACAAAGGUGCUUCAGCUGGACAAGGGACCCCUGUAGUGACUUUGAAACCAGAGGCCAACUUGCUUUAACUAUACUCAGUUAGUUGUCUGUUUGCAAAAGUAGUCAGAUAAUGCAUUACUAAAACCUACCCUGUAAAUAACAUCUCUGAUGCCUGGGUCACCAUAGUAACAGGUGCUUGAGUUUUUCAAGAACUGAGAGUCGACUCCUUGUCCAGUUCAGGCUGGUUAAGACAACCAACUCAUCAACUGGACCUGCGCAGAUGACCAAUAGGUGACACUGUGACAUCAAGGAGCUGAAAACUCCACCCUCAGAUCAUGGUAAUGCUACCAUUUUGUGAACAUGUGUCCUGUGAAGAGCCAUGAAGCUUGACUACACUUGCACGGAUCAUCAGUUACCUCACUUCUCCUUACCUCCAAUCAUCUUUUCCCACUUCAGACCACCCUGCCUGCCCCCUUAUCCCAUAAAUAACCCUAGUCCCCAUUUUGGAGGGAGGUAGAUUUGCCCACCUCCUCGCUUGGCUGCCUUGUGAUUAAAUCCUUUCUCUUUGCAGACUCGUCAUCUCAAUGAUUGGCAUAAUUGUGUGCCAGGCAAAACAAACCUGGUUCAGUAACUUCAAGAUAAUGAAGAUUUAUCUUUGAGCACCUUCUAACUACUGUUUAUUCUCAUGCCUCCAUUUGGUACCAGAGUCUUAAUAAAUAGUCUCAAUGGAUCACACCAUGGACUUCCCCUGGGGUACUUCAAAUUUAAGAUAAUAGUCUGAGGAGCCCCAAAUUGAUCAGAUCAGAAGCUGUCCAAUCAACAUGCUUUGAUAUCUGAGUCUAUUCUGAGCAGCAGAGUGCCCAACUAUAUUUCUCAGCCUCUCUUGCACUGAGGUAUGG